AAAAAUAUACAGGCUUUCCACUGGUAUAGAAUCUCAUACUAAGAAGCACUGUGACAAGUAAAUAUUCAAGUAUACACAAAUUUCCUCAUUUCUGUGCUAGGUUUAUAUUGUUACAUGAUACUGAAACACACCUGUGAGAUAAUCAGAAAUAUUAAGCAGUGGUAGACAACAGAGAAACCAGGAAUUAAUCAAGUUUCAGUGGCCAUGUAACUCCACGUAGCUCCCAGAGUGCUGCUGGUAAGGGCUGAAAGGACUUCCUGCUGGUGAGUAUGUUUUAGUGGGCUCGCUGCUGUGGUUUAUUACAGCAGAAUCUCCCCAGGGAUUCAGCUGAUGGCAAACAUCAAAGCUUCGCCUGCCAUAUUAGAACAGCAACGAUGUGGGUGGAGGUCAUCUCCAAUGAAUUCCGCCUCAUAUAUGGGACAAACGCCUGCAGCACGUCGCUUGGAUGCUCAUUAUCAAUUCAUGGAGCAUUUGAAGACACACAGUCUCUCUGUAAAUUCUAUUUUUUCACUGUCUUUUAAGAGAGCUCAUUUUUUUAGCCUGAAUUUUGACAAUUCAAACUUCCGCUCAAUGACAAGCUUCGAGUCCCACGCUGGAAAAAGGUCCCAUGUGUUUGAAGCAUCUAGGCCGCUCCAUCUUUUUGAUCAGCAGCUCGGCUGUGAAUUGUGCAGAUCAGAAAGUGGAUCAGAGGCUCCCUGGGGACUGCCAUUUAUGCCUGCCACAAGCACAAGAUAGAAAACGUAAUUAAGAGUUUGUUAAGAUGCCCAAAUUCCUUCUCAUUUCCAUCCGCCUCCCAUCCCUCCUUCUCCUGCUCCCAGUAGCUCUGAUCUCGCCUCAGAUUAAAACUCUCUUUCCUCGAGAAUACAGAGCUACGGAGCCAAAGAGGGGAGCCGCAUCUCGAGCCACACAGGCUGAUUAUCUUAAAGAGUAAUUAGCAAGUGUGACAGUGCUCUGUGUCGACAUGAUGGAGAUGGAUUAUUUUGACUGUGGUGUACACAGGCUCCUUUGAAAAGCAUAAGAAAGAGGAGUGCAUGUGCUGCAUGUGUGUUAAUUAUCAGUGUCACUCAAUCUUUAUGUAUGUCUUAACGUGCUUGAUAGUAAUUACUGUUCAUGUAUGUGUAUGUAUCAUUGUCAUUCAGGCAGUCAGCAAGCAACUUCAAACCUCCGCAAGGCAGCAAUUAUCCCCUCAACAAUAUGCAGCUUGGGCUUAGUACACUCUGUGUGAGAUUUGAUGCUGAAUGCUAAUUCAUCUAGAGGUUGAUUGUUACUUCUGUGGGGGGAGGACAAGAUUGGAAAAACACUUGCCUUUUCCGCUACUGGGUCCAUUAGUAUGAGAAUAAUUCAUUUUUUAUUAGCAUUACUGGUGACAGUAACAGGGAAAAAAUCUAAAGCAAUGGAUGUAAAGCUAGAUGAGGUGCUUAGAAAAUGCUUUGUUUUCCUUCCUCCCUUGAACCUGUUGGACACAUUGGAAAAAGAUAAAGUUAUUAAAGUAAUUUCAAAUAUAAUGAUGUAAGGAAAUGUGGAGGGAUAUCACAAUCAGGAGCUUUUGUCAUUUAAAAAGGACCCGUUCGCCAAGUCUCAAGGCUAUGCAUCAUUAAAAUCAGUGUCAUGUACAUCAGGAAAAUAACACUGCAUCCCAUCAGUAGGCUAUUACAUGGCCUAUGCUAGGACUUUGUGUAAUACCACCAGUGACCAGUGAUGUUCAAGAUUCUGUAGUCUCUUUUAUCCAUUUUUGAUAACAUCCAGAGAUAUAUUAUUUUAGGUCACUAAUAAGGUUGUUAGGAAAAUGCUUAACCUCUCUGUAACAGUAUUGCAAGCUGUGGUUUUCUUUAACAUAAUUAUUAGUGGUGUCAAAAUUGGUUUGCUGAGUGUGAUGACAAAAAUCGGAUGUAGACUUCCUCACAGUUUCCUCACAGACUCAAUGAUUAAAAAAAGGCUUCAUUAGGACCCCAAGCCUAUACCUGGGAGAAAGAAGACUACUUCCAACCAAAUUUAUGAAGUAGUCACAUUAGAUUCUUGGCAAAAUAACAUGCCAGUGAAGGCAAGCACCUCUAAGCUACCUAGGCUUCUCACAAGUCAACGACUGCAGCAUUUAGCAUCCUGCAACAAUUCCUGAUUACAGAAAUGGAGUUUAUAUAAUGGUGCAACACAGUGACAGUAGCAGUUUUGGUUAUAUGGAAGGACUGCAUGCAUUACCCACUACUUCACAAUUACUUACUAACCUGGGAUUUUAAUUGCCUUCCUAGUGGCUCAAAUGUGUAGUAGCACUGGUUUACCUGUAAUCUCACCCCAUCUCAGUCUUGAUACAAGUCACACUGAGACAGCAAGAGGGUGUUUCAGACCUGGUGUGAAGGUUUCUGUGAAGGCAGCUGACUGGAACUUUUAUGUAUGGCAGGGAACCUGUAUAUUAACCAAGGAACAUUUUCAGUGAGCUUAUAACCAUGAGAGUAAUUUAAAUGGAAGAAUUAUUAAAGAAGGUAUGUGACUCAGUAAUCGGGUAGACUCUUUAGUGCUGUCUGGCUUCUAGCCACUCUCUUUAGCCUCAGGGACAUUUUCUUGUAGAACUCAUGCUGACAUGCCAAAACAACAACAACAACAAAAAAAACAGAUCAAUGAAAAUGAGCGAGUGUGAGAAAGAAAAAAAGAGUGUUGAACGAAAGGAGCUCAGAUUAACAAGUACAGCAUUAGAACGUUCUACAUAUUUUAAAGGCACAAGCCUCACCUUAAACAUGGGUGUAAAUAUGCUGUUAUUUACUUUUGUAUUCAAAACUGUUAAAUUAGUAAAACAAAGAAAUUGUGAAAUUAAUAUUUUAAAACAACUUUACAGGUAAAUAUUUUAUACUGGAUAUUUCUUUAUUAUUGUUUUGUCAUGGCUGGUGUGGUGGAGAAGCCCAGAAUGCAGAUGAGUAGGAAGCUUCCUAAUGUAUAAGAAGAUUUAAUAAAUUAAACUCACUCCAGCAGGUGGUGGCAAAAACAGGCUUAGCAUGAACAGGACAGACUUGGCAAUACAGGCUUUGCAUGACCAGAGUGAUCACAGAGUGAAUGUUUCCAUGAGGAGUAAACAGAACAAAGGUGUAUAUAUGGAGCAUGGUAAAGGUGAACCGAGAAGACUGACUACAUGAUGCAGGUGGACUGAAUGAAGCUGAUUGCUAUGAUUGACAGAGACAGGGAGAAGCUAAACAUAACUGGGCAAAACAGAGAUCCAAAGAUACAAAACUGAUUGGGAAAACAUGAUGUACAGAACAUGAACAAGACUAAGAAACUAAAGCCCAGCCAGAAAAACACAAGCAAGACCCAAAAACGUAAACUGGAAAUAAGAAUAACUAAAACCCAAACAAAAACCAUAACACCCUCAAAUCAUGACAUGUUUAUACUAGUUGAUAAUGUAGUUUUUGAAUAUCCUCUCUGCACCAGUCACAGCUUUAUUCCCUUAUUAGUUAUGUACAGUGGCUUUAAGAGUUUACACACUCCUGGUAAAGUGCAAUUUUUUUGCUGUCAAGAAUCCAGAUGUGUGCUGUCUGUAUUUUGCUUCUGUGUUCCGGAGAGAGGUUCCAUUGGUGGACGGAGCUGAGCUGCUGCGGUGGUCACACCGGUGGUCACACCUGCAAUUCAUCAGAAGAGGUUCUGUUGGUGGGCGGAGCUGAGCUGCUGGGGUGAUCGCACCUCCAUUUCAUCGGGCUUGUCAUUGGAGUUUAAGAGGAGCUGGCUGACGGGCAUUUGACUGUCAACUCUAGUGGUUCCUGGUUCUUCUCCUAGAUGAAGUUCAAGUACUCUGGCUCAGUUCAGCAGAACAAUAACCUCCUGGAUCUCUGUUUUCACGUCCGGCACACCCAAGCCUAGUCGUCAGCUCCUUCCUCAGGAAAGACCUGUCCGCCCUCCAAUGAAUUAAUCCUCACCCUGCUGCUCAGACAGCCAGCAUGGACUCCAUUAUCUCCCCCUAGCCUGGAUCAUCACCUUCAUUAAUAAGCCCAACAACCAGACUCAUUCUUAUCAUUCACACCACUGUUCAACCUACUCACCAAUUUUGUCUCCUUCCUCCACUGGCUUGCCAUACCUGAACCAGAUCAGAAUCUACUAUAUAUACAUAUAAAAUAUAAAAUAAAGAAGAGAUACUGAAUUUGAAUCAAAGGUAUUUGCUGCUAUGCAGAUAUCUCUGAUGUUGAAGCUCUUGCUUGUCAUCUCAUGAUCCACACCUUGAUGCGCCACAGCUUGAUGCCAGUCUGGAUGAAAAAUGUUUAACCCAAAUCCUAGACAUUUUAGCUCACACAUCCAUGUCUUGCAUGCAAAAACAAUCAGAAAUGGCUAAGAAGCUUUGAAAGAUGUCUUAUGUUUUUUGAACCAAAGAACAGAUUUCCAUUCAUAACAAAGUCAUCUCAAUUUUCCAGACUGAAAAAAAUUUAUUCUGGUUCGUAUAAAUAUUGUUCAAUUCAUCCAUCCUUCCCACUGAUCCUGGAAGGGUAGUGGGGGGUUGGCCACUAAGUCCAGCAGUCAUUAAGAGGAGGGGUACAGCUCGGACAGGUCUGUCUAAUUUAUGAUGAUCAAUAAACCAUGGACUAAUAAAUUAUGUCUGAACAUUCAGUCUCCCAAAAGUUUUUCAUCGGUAUAAGAGACAUUUUGGUUUCAGUGUACCGAACAACAGACGGUU